UUUUGGAAAACUAGCCUGUAAAGUAGUAGUUUUAUGCUAUUUACUCCGGAUGGAUCCAGAGAUAGAGCAUUCUUUCCUUCACGUACUACUUUUUCUCAAUCAGGACGUACUGAGAAACCAGCAGAUUAAGAGCCAGUUCUUUUGGCUCAAUUGUGAAGAAUUAUUGCUUUGGGAAUCAAAAUUACAAAAGAACUCAUCUCUGCCUCAGGAAUCGUCCAAAAUCAUCUCAGAAUUACAGUGCAAUCUAGAAUCACCUCUCAGUGUCUCUUCUCAUCUAGCCAUUUUCUUCUUCUCCUCUCUGCCUCCCUUCUUCUCCUCCACCCUCCCUGCUCGCAAAGAACGCCGGAAAAUAGGCAUGGCGGUCGGCCACACUGCUGGCCCACGCCGUCGUCCCAUGCCACGUCCGGUCGCCGCCAUAUGCCACGCCCCCCCCCUCCGUUGUUACUGCUGGCAGGAGCAGCCAAAGCUCCUGGAGACAAGGAGCUCACCGGCCUCAAUGGCCUAGUCCGCGGUGGGGGCCGCCGCCACGCGCCCCGCCGUCGGGCUCCGGCUUGGGUCGCCGCGCCGCUGCGCGCCAUCAGGAACCGCCUGGGGCGCCGCCUACCAUGGGGCUUAGCUCGGGUCACCGCGUCGCCGCCCGUCAUGGGGAGCCGCCUGGGGGUCACCGCGUCACCGCCCGCCAUGGGGAGCCACCUGGGGGUCGCCGCCCGCCAUGGGGCCGCCAGGGCUGACCGCCCGCCAUGGGGAGCUGGCGCCCUCGCCAAGCGCAGAGGCGGCCAGUGGCCUGACGGCGUCGUCCAACACGGGCCAGCUGCGAGCGUAGAGAAGCAGGUAAGGCGGAGCAGCGGCCGGGGUUGAGCGCCGGUGAUCAUCGGUGGUGGACGGUGGGUGGCUCGCCGGGCAGAGGAGGCGCCAUCGCGAGGUCUGGAUAGACCUGCGCCAAUGGUUGCGUGAUGUGGCAAGGACCUGAUUGCUUUUUUAUAAACUUACAGGGAUCUGAUUGCUUUUUUAAAUUUAUGUGCAGGCCCACCCCUAACGGACAAACAAACGGUCAACAAUCAGAGCUCUUACAUGUGUGUCCGACCUGUCAUAAUCACGAUUAAUCGUAAAGCAUUUGACGAUUUGGGUUUUUUGAAACAACUGACCGCCCAUUUGGUAGUUAUUUGAGAAAAAUUUAAAACCGGUAGUUUUUUGGAACCCUAACCUGUAAAAUAGUAGUUUUAUGCUAUUUACUCAUCCAUCCGAGACAUUAGGUAAGCAUCAAUCGCUGCUUUCGAGCUUAGCUUAACAUAACAUACUAUUUUGAUAUUUUCUGAUACGUGUUACCGAGCUAACCUGCGGGUAUAUACUGAGCAUUUUUGUGAUGUUGUUUGCUGUCAGGCUGUUGCUGAUGGUGGAGGAAUGCUGCCCAAAGGAUUGUCAUGCUUGAUUUCGACCGUACAAGGAAAUCAAUGGGAAUUAAUGUUGCAUCCAAAUCAGGAAGCAACACUUUACUUGGGAGCACUUGGCGUAGUGGUAAAGCUGCUGCCUUGUGACCAUGAGGUCACGGGUUCAACUCCUACAAAUAGCCUCUUGCAGAAAUGCCGGGAAUGAUUGCGUACUAAAGACCUAAAGUGGUCGGACUCUUUCCCGAACCCUGCGCAAACGGAAAGGGAGCCGUCGAAACCUUGCUGGAGAGGAGUAGCCAUAUUCAGCUGCAGGAUAGUUCAGUUGUGCCUUUAGAUGAGAAAUCAAGAAAAGUUAUUUUGGCAAGUCUCCAUGGAUUGUCAACAAAAGCGCCGUGCUGCCUCGGAUUUGUAUACAUGGAGGAUCUUACAGAAUUCACAACAUAUGAUGGAGAAUACCACCCUACUCACAAGCUUUUGCUGGAUCCAGCCAAUUAUGUGGCAAUUGAAGCCGACCUGAUAUUUGCUUGUCUGGCUGGCUUAAGGCUAUGCAAGAUCAUCCAAGGAAGAGGUCUUUGAUGAUGUGGAGGACCGCAUAGCUGUGGGCAUCCGUGUUAUGGUGAUCACAGGAGACAACAAAGAAACUACUGAGACGACAUGCCAUGAAAUUGGUGUAUUUUCACCUGAUGAAGACAUUAGCUUGAAGAGCUUUACAGGGAGGGGGUUCAUGGCACUUGAGGAUAAAAAGACACUUCUGCAAAAGAAAUGUGGCCUUCUGUUAUCUAGGGCAGAUCCUAGACACAAACAAGAGAUCAUUAGGCUAUUAAAAGAAGACCGUGCAGUUAUUUCUAUGACUGGAGAUGGAGUAAAUGAUGGCCCUGCUCUAAAACUAGCUGGCAUUGGUAUAGCAAUGGGUAUUCCCGGCACUGUGUACAUUCUUACUCACCACACAACCCCACACCGGAGUGAGAU